rnacentral:lncRNA from 1 species
CCCUUCCAAAAAAGUCGGGAUUUUUAGCAUGUAUUAGCUCUAGAAUUACCACGGUUAUCCAAGUAGUUGAGGUACUAUCAAAUAAACGAUAACUGAUUUAAUGAGCCAUUCGCAGUUUCACAGUACAAAAUUGCUUAUACUUAGACAUGCAUGGCUUAAUCUUUGAGACAAGCAUAUGACUACUGGCAGGAUCAACCAGGUAACUAUCGUUAGAGGUGAGACAAAAAGCAGAAAAGAAGAAGAUAAAAAAAUGUUUUUUUUUAAAACUUCUUUUUACUUUUCACACACCACUACCGUUUUUAAUUUUUUUUCUUCCCAACAAAAUCAGGAAGAAAAAAACAAAAACAAAAGUUACUCAAAGGUGAAACUGAAAAAAAAAAGAGAAAAGAAAAUAAAUUCUUCCUAAAUUUUUUUUUUACAAUUUCCCAUUAUUCCUCAAUUAAAAAAUUAAUUUUAUAUGAGGUUGUCUAGAGAUGAACAACAUUUCCUAGUUCUCUUUUAAAGAACACCGGAUAUAUCGUUUCUCUGAAGACAAGGAAAUUGCCAGCUUGGUAUCAUAAUUUCCUCAGAUUUUAGCAUUCCAACAAAUAAACAUUGUUUCCAAAAUAU